UCUUCACAUUUUAUUUACCUCAUACAUUAAUAAAAUGAUUAAAUUACCCGAAAUUACCCAAAUAUACGCAGUGUCUCAUGAACCUUUUUAAUUGCCACACACACAUCAGUAAUAAGAAAAAGAACUCUCUUAUAUGUAGCAAGCUCUACAUUUUGUGUGCUUUUUGAGCCUCAGAGCAAUUUGUGAGAUUGACGGUUUCUUUGCUCUGAUUGUAUGUGUCAGAGAGCUGAGGAUGAAUGAGGUCAUGUGACUUGGCCCUCUUGACAUGUCUGGUGAGUGGAUGAGUUGAGGUGUGAAGUCCAGGCAUCCUGACCACACAGGUCAGAAUGGAGCCUCUUAGUGAUCUGGGCCCCUGCUGGUCAGCCAUUCAUUUUUCCUCCCCUGCCACAUAUGUAUCCAUUAUUGCCAUCCUUCACUUCCCUAAAAAUUCAGGUCCACAUAGUCAGAACUGUAGGCCUUUUCAGGGGCCAUUUGCUCCAAAGCUCCUUAUCAGACAAAUAAAGGAAGUAAUGCCCUCAGGGUUUUCAAAGGCCUAAUCAAUUGAACGUGUCUGAUGUAGGCUUCAGUUCCCCUGCUUGGCCGUCCCCAGAUGCUGGCCACUGGACACUGCCUUGAGUGUGCCUCUAUUUCAGCUAUAUUUCAUUCUUUCUUGUCAUUCCUGUUCUUCUGCCUCCAUCGUAUGGACUCAGUAGGACAAAAAAAUUGCAAGUAGUUGGGAUGCCAGAACACUGCCCAUGCAUUCGAUGUUGCCAUCUCUUUUCUUCUAAGCCCCUGGGACUUCACCUCAUUUCAGCACUUCUCCUUCCUAGGACAGAGAUACCCUGGAAGAUUUGAGAAGUGGUCCUCUUUUUCGCCAGUGUCUUCAUGUAACCAUCCCUCUUCCCUUCCAAAUGUCAGUCUCCUCAGUUCCUUUCUUUUGAGAAAAAAAAUGGGUGAUGGUUGCACUUUGGGGGGUGGGCAUUUGAACUUGCCACAAUCUGAUGGACAGAUUCAAUUCUUCUGCUCCCUCCAUAUGUGCCAGGUUGUUUCCUUUCUGUUUCAAGAUUAAUCAUAAUAAAAACGGCAACAAAAAACACCUGUAAUAAUAAUUUCAACUACCAAAUCAGAAAGGAACACGGCAAAUAUCAUUGAAGGAGUACAGUAUGUGUAUGUCAUCUCCUUUGACCCAGCAGCAGACCUCUGAUUCCGAUUCUCUUUGUAGUCCAAUUGACAGGAUUAAAUGAUGCUAAGACAUUGGAAGUUACUCAGACCAGGAGGAUAAACAUCAUAUGUAGCUGAGGAUUAUUCUGAAGAAGAGCUGUACAAUCUUCCCCUUUUGGACAAAUUUAAUUUUGACAAGCUCACCGUUUCUUUUCAAAGGUCAGAGAGGUGAGAAGGAGUGAGGUUACAUGACUUGGCCCUCUUGACAUGAGUGGAUUGUAAUAUCCCGGAAGAUUUGAGGAGUCGCCCUCUUGUUUACAAAUUUCCUCAUGUAAAUAUCCCUCUUCCUUUUGAAAGAAAAGUUUUGUGGAUCCUAAAAGAGAGGCGAAGAUAAAAGACUAUAGCUUUAAAUCUUUAGCAGUAGACCAACUGAAAUUAGCUGGCGCUAUAAUUUGAAGGGCUAGCAGCAAAUGGCCCUUGGAUGAAUUGAAAUGUAUACAUUACUAUUAGUGAUUAUGAACCCAGAUUUGAUUUGGUACUGAAACUAAAUUAUCAUGUGGUCUCAUUUAUAGUGAAAUGUGUUCUGCUAUCAGGAUAAUUGUGGUAAAUCAGAACUUGAUGCAAAAAUGUAUUUGUUAUUUGGCAUUAAGGCAGAAGAAGAAAAUCCUUAUGGAUCAAGAAAACCUGAGUCAAAAAAUCUGUUCUCAGAAAUUUAUUGCCUGUGUGACUUUACCUCUGUUUACCUUAGUUU